rnacentral:ncRNA from 1 species
UUUUUUAGAGCUGUGGUUGAAAGUCGAAGCCAGUCGCAGGCGAAACGAUCCACAUAAGGUAAACUUUGUUUACUGAGCAUGGUGCGGUUUUUGGAGUAAGUCCUGCCUUAACCUUAAUUGGUGAUAAUAAUAAGAGAAGGGUAGUAGUGAGGGAUAAAGUUCCUGAGCAAACCUCUCAGCAGGCGAGUGUGGGGGCAAAGACCAGGUCAGUCUAAAGAA